rnacentral:lncRNA from 1 species
GUGAUUCUAAACUGUUGGACGCCAAACCUUCACCUCUUUGCCACACCAGAACACACUGAUAAAAGUCAUAAGAGGGUGAGAAAGUGUCGUGCAAGCUCACUUCUCUUCUCUGAAUUUUUUCUGAUUUGUUUCAUUGAUUUUCCUCACAGAUUUUUCUCUCUUUCUUUCUUUCUUUCUCUCUUUCUCUAUGAAUUUUUCUUUCUUUUUUCUGAGAUAAAUGAGCUCGAC